rnacentral:lncRNA from 1 species
GAACCAAAUUAACAUCAGUGGCAUGACAGAAGUUCAGCCAGAGCUGGAGCGAAGCCUACACGGUCCUGAUCCCUGUCGAACACAGUGUAGUAGCGGCCGAUGAACACGUCUCCCAGAAUCCACAGCGGCCCAGCAGGAGGAGGGAUAUCCAUCGCCAUGAAGCCCGACAGACAAACAUUCAUACCCAUGUGACUCACCUGAAAGAAGACGUAAAUCAGGUCCAUAUGCUGAUUUAAAUAUAUCAUUAUUAUGUUUGUUUACUUUCCAAACAAACAGAAAAUGUUUAUGAUUGUCAUAGGUUUUAGAGACAAUUAAUGAG